rnacentral:rRNA from 2 species
UGCAGUCGAGCGACUGAUUAGAAGCUUGCUUCUAUGACGUUAGCGGCGGACGGGUGAGUAACACGUGGGCAACCUGCCUGUAAGACUGGGAUAACUUCGGGAAACCGAAGCUAAUACCGGAUAGGAUCUUCUCCUUCAUGGGAGAUGAUUGAAAGAUGGUUUCGGCUAUCACUUACAGAUGGGCCCGCGGUGCAUUAGCUAGUUGGUGAGGUAACGGCUCACCAAGGCAACGAUGCAUAGCCGACCUGAGAGGGUGAUCGGCCACACUGGGACUGAGACACGGCCCAGACUCCUACGGGAGGCAGCAGUAGGGAAUCUUCCGCAAUGGACGAAAGUCUGACGGAGCAACGCCGCGUGAGUGAUGAAGGCUUUCGGGUCGUAAAACUCUGUUGUUAGGGAAGAACAAGUACAAGAGUAACUGCUUGUACCUUGACGGUACCUAACCAGAAAGCCACGGCUAACUACGUGCCAGCAGCCGCGGUAAUACGUAGGUGGCAAGCGUUAUCCGGAAUUAUUGGGCGUAAAGCGCGCGCAGGCGGUUUCUUAAGUCUGAUGUGAAAGCCCACGGCUCAACCGUGGAGGGUCAUUGGAAACUGGGGAACUUGAGUGCAGAAGAGAAAAGCGGAAUUCCACGUGUAGCGGUGAAAUGCGUAGAGAUGUGGAGGAACACCAGUGGCGAAGGCGGCUUUUUGGUCUGUAACUGACGCUGAGGCGC